AUUCAUUGGGCGUUAAAGGGUGUGUAGGUGGCGCCGUAAGUCGGGUGUGAAAUUUCGGAGCUUAACUCCGAAACUGCAUUCGAUACUGCGGUGCUUGAGGACUGGAGAGGAGACUGGAAUUCAUGGUGUAGCAGUGAAAUGCGUAGAGAUCAUGAGGAAGACCAGUGGCGAAGGCGGGUCUCUGGACAGUUCCUGACACUGAGGCACGAAGGCCAGGGGAGCAAACGGG
rnacentral:rRNA from 1 species